UCCUCGGUGGCGCAAUUGGCUAGCGCGUCGUAAGUUCUACCUUUAGUGACUCCAGAUGGUCGAUGUUUUCUCUAACCAGUUUCGCAGUGACUGUUAAUCAGGAGGUUGAAAGUUCGAGCCUUUCCCGGGGAG